rnacentral:ncRNA from 1 species
AAUCAGAAGUGGGGCUAUGCCCCUCUUUUGGGACCCAAGGUCGCUUCGGCGGCCGAUCCGGGAGGAAGACAUUCUUAGGUGGGGAGUUUGGCUGGGGCGGCACAUGUGUUAAAAGAUAACGCAGGUUCCUAAGAUGAGCUCAAAGAGAACAGAAAUCUCGUGUGGAUUAAAAGGGUAAAAGCUCGUUUGAUUCUAAUUCCCAAUAUGAAUACGAACCGCGAAAGCAUGGCCUGUCGAUCCUUUAGACCAUUAGAAUUUGAAACUAGAGGUGUCAGAAAAGUUACCACUGGGAUAACUGGCUUGUGGUAGCCAAGUGUUCGUAGCGAUGUUGCUUUUUAAUCCUUCGAUGUCGGCUCUUCCUAUCAUUGUGAAGCAGAAUUCACCAACUGUUGGAUUAUUCACCCACCAAUAGAGAACAUGAGGUAGGUUUAGACAGUUAUGAGACAGGUUAAUUUUACCCUACUGAUGAUUGUGUUGCAAUGCUAAUUCAACAUAGUACGAGGGGAAUAGUUGAUUUGCAUAAAUGGUCAUCGCGCUUGGUUGAAAAGCCAAUGGCGCAAAGCUAUCGUGCGGUGGAUUAUGACUGAACGGCUCUAAGUCAUAAUCCGGGCCAGAAUCGACGUGUUAUCCACUGCUCGUUUGCCGAUCAGCAG